rnacentral:lncRNA from 1 species
UCAAAACUCUCAUUCAAUAGAUAGAGGAGCAUGUGAGGUAGAAUAAUGACGUACCUUUUUUGGAGUGCUUUUUGAGUCUCUUUUAUAGAUGGAGGCUGGAGUUUCAGUUGGCAAGUUGGUUGGCAUGAUCCCACUCGAUCAAGAUGCAAUUUAUGCGCGAUGGUGAGACUAUCGCUUGAGAUUCUUGGGAUGUGGCAAUCGUUGUUGCC